rnacentral:tRNA from 1 species
GGGGUUGUGGCUCAGUGACAGAGCACUUGCCUAGCACGUGAGAGGCACUGGGUUCAAUUCUCAGCACCA